UACUUGAGAGUGGUGAACGGGUGAGUAUAUAUCGGAACGUGCCAGUCGUGGGGGAUAACGUAGAGAAAUUUACGCUAAUACCGCAUACGAUCUACGGAUGAAAGCGGGGGAUUCGCAAGAACCUCGCGCGAUUGGAGCGGCUGAUAUCAGAUUAGGUUGUUGGUGAGGUAAAAGCUCACCAAGCCGACGAUCUGUAGCUGGUUUGAGAGAACGACCAGCCACACUGGGACUGAGACACGGNCCAGACUCCUACGGGAGGCAGCAGUGGGGAAUUUUGGACAAUGGGCGAAAGCCUGAUCCAGCAAUGCCGAGUGUGGGAAGAAGGCCUUCGGGUUGUAAACCACUUUUGUACGGAACGAAACGUCUCGCUUUAAUACAGUGGGCUAAUGACGGUACCGUAAGAAUAAGCACCGGCUAACUACGUGCCAGCAGCCGCGGUAAUACGUAGGGUGCGAGCGUUAAUCGGAAUUACUGGGCGUAAAGCGUGCGCAGGCGGUUAUAUAAGACAGUUGUGAAAUCCCCGGGCUCAAACUGGGAAUUGCAUCUGUGAAUGUAUAGCU
rnacentral:rRNA from 1 species